rnacentral:tRNA from 1 species
GCCUGGUUGGCUUAGUCGGUUGAGUGUCUGACUUCAGCUCAGGUCAUGAUCUCAAGGUUCAUGGGUUCAAACCCCGCAUUGGGCU